GUCCACGCUGUAAACGAUGAGUGCUAGUUGUUGGGAAGUUUACUUCUCAGUGACGAAGCUAACGCGAUAAGCACUCCGCCUGGGGAGUACGGCCGCAAGGUUAAAACUCAAAGGAUUGACGGGGGCCCCGCACAAGCGGUGGAGCAUGUGGUUUAAUUCGACGCAACGCGAAGAACCUUACCAACCCUUGACAUGUGUAUCGCGGAGACCAGAGACGGUUUCCUUCAGUUCGGCUGGAUACAACACAGGUGCUGCAUGGCUGUCGU
rnacentral:rRNA from 1 species